rnacentral:rRNA from 1 species
UACGUAGGGUGCGAGCGUUGUCCGGAAUUAUUGGGCGUAAAGAGCUUGUAGGCGGUUUGUCGCGUCUGCUGUGAAAAUCCGGGGCUCAACCCCGGACUUGCAGUGGGUACGGGCAGACUAGAGUGUGGUAGGGGAGACUGGAAUUCCUGGUGUAGCGGUGGAAUGCGCAGAUAUCAGGAAGAACACCCGUGGCGAAGGCGGCUCUCUGGAACGCAACUGACGCUGAGACGCGAAAAGCGUGGGGGAGCGAACAGG